AUCAGGUGUUUGGUCACAGCAACAGGAAAAGUAACUAACACGGCAGACCUUGGCAAACCUGCCCAGGGAUUGGAGUACCCAGGCCUCAAGGGGAGCUGGGCUUCUGCUCCUCUGACGACUGUUAAGCAAGAAGGGGCCCAGGAUGCCUUGUAUCUACCCAGCUGCUAAUGGCUUGCCAGGACUGCCUGUGUGGCCAGUGUUCCCAGCAAGACCUGAGCCAGAUCAUGGAGACCAGACAGCCUUCCCAGGACCCUGAAAAGCCUGGAGGAUUCAGGCCAUGGCUGUUCCUCUAUGUAGUCCCAAGCCUUCAUGAAGCAGGUGCCUGGUGCCUGGGCACUAGUAAAGGAAUGCAUUAAACCACCAACUUCA